UCCCUCCUGUCCCUCCCAGCAGCCUACCCAGCUGUGAUGCAUAUCAAACAGCACCAUGCAGUUUCUCCAUGCCUAGGUGAGAACUAGCCUGUCAGCACUGCUUGGAGGACCUGGGGACAUUUCCUGUCCUGAGGAGUGGUAUCAGAUGCCUGCUAGGCUACAGCUGCUGUCUUUGGCUGUAUUCCCCCCAGCACUUCAGAGAGCCACUGCUCACUUCUGGAAUGUGCACUGACUGCUGCCUCUCAAGAGAGAUGCUCACCAUCACCUCUUCUCCCAGGACAAAGGCAAAAGAGCCAAAAGAAAAAGCUGUUUUCUCAGGACUGGCUUGACUUCCUCAAAUUAAGAAAGGAGACACGGUUAAAAAUGUUGUUAAUCUGAAAACAAAGAAGAUAAGCACUGAAGUACCAGAUCAGAAC
rnacentral:lncRNA from 1 species